rnacentral:lncRNA from 1 species
UUGGGCCGCUCCCGGCAUAUGGAGGUUCCCAGGCUAGGGGUCGAAUCGGAGCUGUAGCCACUGGCCUAUGCCAGAGCCACAGCAACGCGGGAUCUGAGCCGGUCUGCAACCUACACCACAGCUCACGGCAACACCGGAUCGUUAACCCACUGAGCAAGGGCAGGGAUCGAACCUGCAACCUCAUGGUUCCUAGUCGGAUUCGUUAACCACUGCGCCACGACGGGAACUCCUACAAUAAAAAAUUCUAAAUGCCAUCCUACAUUAAAAAAAAAAAAGAGGAAUUGGUUAAUAUUUGUGAUACAGAAUCGGCAGUAAAAAAAAUUACCUUCUUUGUGAACUUCUUUUUCCAACAGAUAAAAGAAGAAUCACUGUGCAUAAUUACUGUAAUUUACUUUCACAGACAUUCCCAGGAAGUAGAUAUGAUUGCUUACAUUUUAUAGCUAAGGUUGAGCAGUUGGACAAAGGUCAUAUGGCUAGUAAGCUGUGAGGUCAGUAUUUACUGUUGGACUACAAAUUCUGUGUUCCAGCCAUAUUAUACAGCCAUAUUAUACAGUGCCAUUGGGCACCGCUCUUUUGCAUUAGCUGUAAGGCAUAUCUUUUAAAGUUUUGUUACCUCUUGAAACAUUUAUAUAAAACCAUUUUUUUCAUUUUUUAAAAAAACAUCCAUUAUAUUAAAUGUAACAAAAAUCUAUGUUGGUAAAUACACCAUGAAGAACCCAGCUCUUAGCUAUACCAGACAUUUCCAAGGUUUUCUUAAGUAGUUCAAACUUACUGCUGGUCCUCUAUUCAUUUAGAAGUGGACCCUGAAGCCUGUGCUUGCAAACUUACAGGGACAGAAAAUGUCACAGCAUCUCUCAGACACCCUGGGUUAAAUAGUGGGACAGUGAAGGAACAGAGAAAUGGCUAAAUUUUAUCUAUAAGACAUUUCUUCAGGUAAGCAACAGUCCAAAUCAACAAUAUGUCCAGCAAGUAAGCACAGAUGCUAUAAUCCUCCCAAUAAAAAGAGAAUCUGCAUUUCAGUAAACAGGUGUUGUUUCUUACAUCAUGAAAGGGAGAGAUAGGUAGAUCUGUGAGGCAAGUGUUUUACCCCUCAGCUUUCACAGCCAUCAAAACCCAAGAAUGGAAGAAAGAAAUAGCUCUAGUUCAGCUGGAUCAUUCACAAGUACGUCACAAGUUUGCUAUGCUAAAAUCUCCAGACUAGAUUUAGGGUGAAAAGAACAAGAACAAAAUCAAGAAAUUGCUUUGAGGGGUGGUCUUGUGGCACAGUGGGUUAAGGAUCUGGCAUUGUCUUUGCAGUGGCUUGGGUUGCUGCUGUAGUGUGGGUUUGAUCCCUAUCCCAGGGAACUUCCAAAUGCUGUGGGUGUGACCAAAAAGAAAGAAAGAAAGAAAUAUCUUUAAAAGACUUGAAUUGAAGAAUUGAUUUAAAAAGGAAGAGCCUUAGGUAAGGCCAAAGUGACUAAAUAAAGCUGGGAAUGUUUUCCUCUUGCUCUUCCGAGUAGAUUGAUUCUGUUCUAAUAACCAACCUAAGAGGGGCGCUCUUAGUGAGUGUGGCUUCUCUAAUUUGUAAUGAAACUGCUCUUGAAUCAUUUUUUUAGGUUACUUCAUAUGUUUGUAGAAUAUAGGUACAAAGUUAUUUUGAGUAACUAUACGAGUAAAUAUUUAUUAAGGUGACAUUUUAAGGAUAGCAAGGGUCCAACUACAUAGGACAUGACAUUCAUGCUCCCC